rnacentral:rRNA from 1 species
AUGUUCACAUGCUCAAGUGCACUUGAAGCUGAAGCUGCUGCCUGCUGCGAAGGCAUUGCCCUCGCACUAGAGUGGAGUCAGGCCCCUGUCAUCAUCGAGACGGACUGCUCCAUGCUUGCGAGCAUGCUAAAGGAAGAUGUUAUCAACCGAUAGGUGAUAGCAGCACAUAUAAAUGAAAUCAAGCGUCUGCUGAGCUCUGGCCGUGAGCACAAAAUAGAGGUUAUCAAAUGUGAGGUGAACUUUGUUAGUCACUCUCUUGCUAUAUAUGGGUGUUGCACGUCCCGUACGGCGGUCUGGUUGUGGUCAAGACCAGAUGAUAUUGCCAAACUCUGUUUGGGUGUUAACCCUCAAAUAAAUUGGUUUUCCAUUCGCCAAAAAAAGAUUAUUUGA